rnacentral:rRNA from 1 species
AGACUCCUACGGGAGGCAGCAGUGGGGAAUAUUGCACAAUGGGCGCAAGCCUGAUGCAGCCACGCCGCGUGUAUGAGAAGGCCUUCGGGUUGUAAAGUCUUUUCAGUCGUGAGGAAAGCGGCGUCGUUAAUAGCGGCAUCGUGAACGUAGCGACAGAAAC